rnacentral:rRNA from 1 species
CUUUGAAGUGUGGACGCCAGUCUGCAUGGAGCCGGCCUUGAAAUACCACCCUUUAAUGUUUGAUGUUCUAACGUUGACCCGUGAUCCGGGUUGCGGACAGUGUCUGGUGGGUAGUUUGACUGGGGCGGUCUCCUCCUAAAGAGUAACGGAGGAGCACGAAGGUUGGCUAAUCCUGGUCGGACAUCAGGAGGUUAGUGCAAUGGCAUAAGCCAGCUUGACUGCGAGCGUGACGGCGCGAGCAGGUGCGAAAGCAGGUCAUAGUGAUCCGGUGGUUCUGAAUGGAAGGGCCAUCGCUCAACGGAUAAAAGGUACUCCGGGGAUAACAGGCUGAUACCGCCCAAGAGUUCAUAUCGACGGCGGUGUUUGGCACCUCGAUGUCGGCUCAUCACAUCCUGGGGCUGAAGUAGGUCCCAAGGGUAUGGCUGUUCGCCAUUUAAAGUGGUACGCGAGCUGGGUUUAGAACGUCGUGAGACAGUUCGGUCCCUA